rnacentral:lncRNA from 1 species
AAAUUCCCAAUUAGAGGUGAAGUCUCAGAAGAAAACCGACUCUACCGUCCGCAUUCGCUUCUCAACCUUAAAGCGGUGGCUGGCGCAGGCGCAGGCGCCGGUCCCAAAUUUUCAGCUGCCCAGGUAAAUUAUAUUCUACGGUUUAAUUAUUUACGUUUAUUUGGUUGUUGUUGAAAUUCUCUUCGUUUUUUUGGAGUUCUGAUCAGACGAACAUGAUCAAAUACAAAUUUUGUGAAAUUGCUUAAUAGGAAAACAGAAUGAUAAUAGCAUUUAACAGUACAAACUAUUGUUUAAUUCUAAACAAACUGAUACCCCAACUUGUAUGCUAUAUAGAUAUUAUACAAGUAUUCAAUUUGCUUAUUACACGAGGCAGAUGCAGUUUGCGUCAAUAGAGAUAGGUAGAAAUUCUGAAAUGCUCGAAACUUUAUUAGGGACGUCUUCCUUGCGAGAAGAGCAAAGGACCAGAUAGAGACUCACGGAGAUUAACUCCACUCUCAAAGAUAUGGCGCAUAAGGUCAAAAUGCUCCUCACCAACGUAAAAUCCGGUCCUUCCAUAUGAUUUCGAGAAGGAAACAUAUUUUUGUUUAUUAUAUGAAACACGAAAAAUAUCUUUAUUUAUUGUGCUUGGAAAUGAAGAACAAAAUAUAAUUUAUUUUUAAAAUAAAUUUGGAGAAUUUUUUUGUGAGAGUACCGGUUGGUAUUUUUUUCAACACUUCUUGAUUGCCAGAAACGACGUUAUGCUUUUUGUUCCAGAAAACUCCUUCAUGGCUUCUUAUUUCUGAGAGCUUUUGGUAACGUUUCUUGAGGUUUCUCAACCUUGCCUUAAGACAGAGAACUGUAAAAUUGGGCCCUAAAUUUUGCAGAACUUCCUCAUCAUGUGCAAAAUUCUAAAAUUUCACUUGAUUAAAAAAAAGAAGGAGAAGGAGAAGAAGAAAGAAAGAAAUUAAUAAGAUCUAAAAUUUUAAUCAUGCUCCACCUUUACUUCUUCGCCAUUUCUUUUGUGUUUGGGCUGGAUUAGGGGCCUGGUUAAGAUUCAAGGCUCCAAUCUCAAUGGUGAGAAAAGACCCUUAUUUUUUCAGGUAAGGUUCUUAAUGGAUACAAACUCAUAAUGUAUCAAACCAAUAAAAGUUUAUGGUGAUAUACAGUUACAACGGUCAGUCAUUGAUCAAGAUUCAUCUUGAAAUUUAUGCUUAAAUUGAUUGUAAAAAAAUUGAUCUAGAAAAUUAAAUUCUUGAUAACAAAGUUAAAGUUCUAAACCGAAAAAUUCUAGGUUACUCUUCAGAAUUCAGUAACCUGGUAUAGUGCUAAACUCGGUAACCCUUGUAGUGAAAGAUGGCUUUUUGUACUUGGGAAAAUGAAAUUCUAAACCAAGAUCUACAGACAAACGAUGAGUCUUGUUUAUAUAAUAGUAAAUGAAAUGCAAAGUCUGAAAGCAUUGGUGUAUGAGUGUGUGUCCAUGUAUCUGUAUAUAUUGACAUUUGUGAAAGCAUUUAAUAGAAAUAAAACGUUAGGUGAGACUUUUUUCUUUCUUUGCUUUCACACACACACACACACACACACACACACACACACACACACACACACACACACAUAUAUAUAUAUAUGUAUGUAUGUAUAUGUAUAUAUAUGUAAAUGAACUGUAAAGUCGGAAAGCAUCUGCAUAUGAGAGUGUGUCUAUGUAUCUGUAUAUAUUAACAUUUGUGAAAACAUUUACACCCUGUAUGAUCCACAUUCUUUCAAAAAAAUAUAUUUUUAGACAGUGAUUUGACAUCAUUUUAAUCACAUAUUUUUUAAUAAAAUAAUAUUACAUGCAAAUUCAAAACUUUUUCUUAUUUUUAAUCAUACAUUUUGCAUCAAUAUACUAUUUAAAAAUGCACUCUCAUGGAAAUAAUGUGGCUCAAACAAGGGUUUAAUAGAAAUAAAGUGUUGGGUAAGACUUUUCUUUCUUUGCUUUCACACCUGUGCAUAUAUAUAUAUAUGUGUGUGUGUGUGUGUGUGUGUAUAUAUGCAAGCAAAGAAAGCAUGAGUCUUAAGUAACAAUUUUGCUUUCGAUUAAAUGCUUUUAUAAAUGACAUAUACAGAAACACACACACACACACACAAAAAGGAUAGAUGCAAUGACACAUCCAUACAUACACUCGCACACACACAUAUAUAAUCUGACUUUUAUGAUUUGAGCGAACAAGACAUCACUAGCAAUGCUGUUGUUGAAGCAUUGACAAUCAUUAAAAGUACAUCAUGGUUUUCUUUGUACAUAUUACUUGAAAAAAAUUAAUAAAUGUUCCUAGUUUGGGGUUUCCAAAAAACGGUGAGAUAUCAGUAUUGAAAUCCAAGAAAUGCCUUUAGGGUUUGAAAUUAAGAUAUUCUAGAAAGUUGACAAGAAACUUAAGAAAAUUCAGGUGUUUUUGCAAUUUUCUUUUAGUUCUUUUCGUUAUAAUUGAGAAAUAUAUACGAACUACUACUUAUGUUGUUCGAACUCUCCAUUUUAGAGGAAGUACUCGUGUCGGACACAUUAGACAAGGGUAAGGGUAUGUGAUCCUUCUCGGAUUCUUUAAAUCAAAAGAGGAUCCUUUAUAUCAUUUUUGUUGUUUUGGUUUUGUAUUUAGAAUGAUUUCUAAUUUGUAUUUCACUUAUCUAGGCUCGGAAUAAAAUUCAAACGGUGAAUGUUGGACGCCGGCAAGGGAUGACAUAUGCUAAAGUUACGGCAAAUGUACACGCCACGCAGAAUGUUGAUCGAAGGGUGCUAACACGAAAGGAAAAGGUAGUUACUGUGAAUGAUAAUGAAGGUAUUUGUAAGAUGCAGAAACCUAAGGAAACACAUGUAGAAGGAUCAAAUGACGGUAUUUUGAAUUGUGCUGAAAUAAAGGCUCGUGUCUAGGCAUUGAAAGAGGAAUUGGACAAAUUAUCUAAUCUUGUGGGAUGUGAAUCUGUAGCGGAACUCGAGAUGCUUUUUUGCCAUAAGUGUGGGUUGGGCGUGGAAGCAAAAAGCUUGGCCCCUAGGAGCUAUCACCAAACGUAGGCCUUACUAAAGAUAAGGGGGAUAAUGACUCGGGGAUCGAAGCAGAUCAGGAGAUGGGACCUUGGUCUAACGUAGGGGAGCCGAAUAUGGUGAAUUUGGAGUCGGAGACACUGGGUAUGAUGGACACGACGCCAUCGGCAUAUGGAUUAUUAUUAGUUGAGAAAGAGACAGGACAUACAUUGGCUGAUGGUUUAGCUUCAACUGAACUGAAAGAGCAUGAUGCGACAUGUUCGAACACUGUAGUUCGAAACACAUAUAAUUGGCACUCGAGGCCCCUAAAAGAAAAGGAAUUAGGGACCGACGAAGCUCUAGUGUUGUGGACAGAUGGCGCCAAGAAAAGAGGAACGGAUAGUGAUAUCGAGCAGGUGGAGAAAGUAGAGGGAUUCCCAUAUGAUCUUUUGGAGUAUCGUCAUGCAGAGGAAACAAUGAAAGUGCGUGCGAUUGAAAGUCCCCCACCUUCAAAUUGGGUUCUUCAAAAAAUUCAGAAUUUCAGUAGGUUGGUGUGUCUUGUGAUGGAUAUGAAAGUAGACUAUUACAAUUAUUAGAGGCAGCAGGGGACAGGGGAUGAGUAUAACAGGCAAUAAAACAAGAAGAAAAGGAGAUCGCAAACUCAAGCAGCUUGAAUGGUAAAUAAAUUAUGGGGCUAAAGGUGUUGAGUCAAAGAAAAGAUUGCUUGGAAGGGUUGACAAAGCGUUAAGAUGAUACCAAAGAUAAUUAGUUGGAACAUAAGGGGGUUUAAUGUAGUGGAGAAAAGGUUAGGUGUUCGAAAUCUGCUAAGGGGAUGGAGGGCGGACUUUGUCUGUUUACAAGAAAUUAAGUUGGAUUUCGUCUCGAGGGCUGUUGUAAGCAAUUCAUGGGGGCAAUAUGAAGGAUCAUCGGGGGCCUCACGAGGUGUGUUACUCAUGUGGGACACGAGAGUUUUUGAUAUGGAGGAGGUGAGUGAAGGACUAUUUUCCUUAUAUCUUUCAUUCAGAAAUAUUGGGGAUGGAUUUUGUUGGAUGUUUAUAGGAGUUUAUGGCCUAAUGAUGAUGAGAGUGUGGAUUGUGGGAUGAGUUGACGGGGAUGAUGGCUUGGUGGAACGUUCCAACGUGUAUUGGGGGAGAAUUUAAUGUGAUUCGAUUUUCUACUGAGAGGUCAAGUGGUGGGAGAUUAACAAAGGCAAUGGAGGAGUUCUCAGAUUUUAUCAGGAAGAAUAUGUUAGUGGACCUGUCUUUGAUUGGUGGAGACUUUACUUGGUCUUCUAAUCGAGAGCAGCCUAUUCUAUCGGGAAUAGAUCGAUUUUUGAUUAGUGAGGCAUGGGAAGACUGGAAGAGAAGUACACAGAGGUUACCCAGAGAAGAUUAGGGAUGUGCAUUCUGACCACUUCCCUAUUUUACUGGUUGGGAAUGCGAGGUGUAGUGAAAGAAGACCUUUUAGGUUUGAAAAGACCUGGCAAAAAGUAGAAGGCUUUAGGGAGCGAGUAUGAGAUUGGUGGGCAUCUUACAAUUUCAGGGGGUCUCCCAGUAAUGUGUUGGAUCAAAAAUUGAAAGCUUUAAUGAGGGAUAUAAAGAGGUGGAAUGAGGAGGUAGUGGGAGAUGUUAACUGGCGUAAAAAUCAAUGCAUCUUAGAUAUAGAAGAAUUGGAUAGGAGGGAGGAAAGUCAAGGAUUGGUAGAGGAUGAGAGGGGGAGACGUGGAGAAUUAAGGGGAGAGUUGGAAAGGUUGGUGGAGAUGAAGGAAAUAGCUUGGCGACAAAAAUCUAGGGUCAAGUAGUUGAAGGAGGGUGAUAAAUGCACCCAGUUUUUCCAUAGAGUCGUCAAUUCUAACAAGCAUAACAAUUCUAUCACCAUGCUGGAGGUAGAUGGAGUUACUUAUGAAGACCUACAAGAUGUUGGGACCCAAAUGGUAAAUUUCUAUCAAAACUUGUAUUGUGAGCAGUUUGACUGGAGGCUUGAGUUGGAGGGGUUGGAUUUUUCUAUUAUUAUUGAGGAGGAUGCCAGCUGGUUAGAGAGACCAUUUGGGAAGGAUGAGAUUAGGGAGGUGGUGUUCAACAUGAACGACGAUAAAGCACCAGGGCCGGACGGAUUCUCAUUCUCAUUUUAUAAGGCUUGUUGGGAAGUGGUACGAUCGGACAUUGUGGAUGUCUUUACUUAUUUCUUUUAACGUGGCAGGUUCUUGAGAAGUUAUAAUACUACGUUUAUUGUGCUGAUUCCAAAAAAAAAUCGAGUGCAUCUGAUAUUAAAGACUUUCUUCUUAUUAGCUUAGUAAGCGGGGUGUACAAGAUUAUUGCAAAGGUGCUAGCUAAUAGAUUAAAGGAGGUGUUGGGUAAAGUGAUGUCUAAAUUUCAGAAUGCCUUUGUCAAAGGCCGCCAGAUAUUGGAUUCCGUACUUAUAGCAAAUGAAUGUAUUGACUCGAGACUGCAUAUGGGGAUUCCAGGGAUGUUAUGUAAACUUGAUAUUUAGAGAGCCUAUGAUCACGUGAACUGGGAAUUCCUUUUGUAUAUGCUCAGGCGAUAUGGCUUCAGGGACAAGUGGCGCCGUUGGAUUCAGUUUUGUAUAUCUAUGGUCUCCUAAUCAGUUUUGGUAAAUGGCACUCCUGAGGGUUAUUUUCGAAGUAGUAGAGGUUUGAGGCAAGGGGAUCUUUUGUCUCCAUUGUUGUUUGUUAUUGUUAUGGAGGCUUUCAGUAGGAUGCUUGAGAAAGCUGCCGGAAAAAGUCUGUUGAGGGGCUUUAUGAUUAACCAAUUACAGGUAUCCCAUUUGCUAUUUGCAGACGACACAUUGAUCUUCUGUGAUGCAGAGGCUGAGCAAAUCAAGAACUUGCGACUCUGCUACUGUGCUUUGAAGCUGUAUUUGGAUUGAAAAUUAAUUUGGGAAAAUCUGAGACCAUCACAGUUGGGGAUAGCGCUAAUGUGGAGGAGUUGGCGACUGUAUUGGGUUGUAGGACUGCGCAACUACCUAUGUCAUAUCUUGGGCUCCCUUUAGGAGCACGGUUUAAAAACAUACACAUUUGAAAUAGUAUUGUGGAAAGGGUGGAUAGGAGGUUAGUGGGUUGGAAGCGUAUGUACCUCUCAAAGGGAGGUCGUCUUACACUCAUUAAGUCCACUCUAUUGAAUCUCCCCACUUGCUUCUUGUCAUUGUUCUCUAUCCCCGUUUCAAUGGCAAAAAGAUUAGAGAGGAUUCAAAGGGAGUUUCUAUGAGAAGGUUUAGGGGAGGAAAUGAAACAUCACUUGGUAAGCUAGGGAGUAGUGUGUUCUUUGACAAAAACGGGGGGCCUCGGAUUGAGGAGUCUUUUAUUGUUUAAUAAGGCCUUGCUGGGUAAGUGGUUGUGGCGAUUCGGUGUGGAGAGAGAGCUUUUGGAGAGAAAUUAUAGAGGCGAAAUAUAGUGUUCUAGAGGGGGAUGGUGCACGGCUGAGGAUCGUGGUUCUUAUGGGGUGAGUUUGUGGAGGUAUAUACGAUGAGGUUGGAGAGAAUUUCAGGAUAGAUUGACGUAUGAGGUGGGGAAUGGCAAUACUAUCAGAUUCUGGGAAGAUUGCUGGUGUGGAGAUCGGCCAUUAAGAGUGGAGUAUCCUUCCCUGUAUCAUAUUACUUUGAUGCCGCAAGCUAUGGUGAAUGAAGUCUUACAUGUGCAUAAUGAGAAUCUCAGCUGGAACAUUGCUUUUGAGAGGGGUCUACAGGACUAGGAAUUGGAUGAUUAUGCGUUACUCCUGACCUCUUUGUACGAGGUGCACGUCUGGGUAAGCGAGAGUGAUAGUAGUAGGUGGAGGUUGGCACACGAUGGCAUUUUCUCAGUAAACUCUUAUUUUAGAUCUUUAUUGGAACUUGAGCAGAGUUCAUUCCCCUGGAAAAAGGUAUGGCGUUGUAAACUGCCCCCUUGGGUGUCAUUUUUACUAUGGACGGUUGUGAGGGAACAGGUGUUAACAGUGGAUAACCUUCGAUGUAGAGGCUUUUAUGUUACGGAAUGAUGUUAUAUGUGUCAGAGGAAUGGAAAGACGAUUGACCAUUUGUUCCUUCAUUGUAACGGUGCUUGUACCCUAUGGAACGAUAUUCUAGCUUCUCAACACAUAGAUUGGGUGUUUCCAUAGCGUAUGAAGGAUGUAUUGAAGGCAUGGGUGAGAAGAUUUCGUAAUAAAGAUAGCAAUAUCAUUUGGGACCUUGUCCCAGGAUGCAUCGUCUGUGUGUGUGGAGAACGAGAAAUAGCCGUUGUUUUGACGAUCAUACACGAACAACAAAACAUAUUAAAGAAUUGUUUUAUUUGACACUGUAUACUUGGUUUAAUGCCGUGGCUAUUAUUCGCGUAGACGGGUUGCCCAAUUUUAUGUCGUUUCUAUCUUGUAUUAAUUGAUAAUACACUUCCUGUGUAUUACCAUGAUUAAUAAAAUAUUUGAUUACCUAUAAAAAAUAUAUAUAUAUUAUUAAGAUUCAUUCUUGAAAAUAUAUACCUAAACUGAAUGUAUAAAACUUGUGAUCUGGAGAACUAAUUCUUGAAAAUAAAGUUUAAGCUCUAAAAAGGAAUAAUAUCAGCUUUGUUGUGGAGCACUUGGGGAUUUGGGCCUAAUUAUUUCUUAAGCUCCCAAGGUCUAGACUAGAGAUUUGGAUCAUUGAUAUUUGGGAUUACUCUUAGCAGUAUAGCUAAGUCUUCCUACGUGAUGCAAAGAUACGUAGGAGACUAUUAUUUAUGUCUCAUUUAGUGAUCAAUUACAUGUUUUUCUGCCUUUGGCUUCCCUCUAGGUGAUGACAUCAUGAGAUUAACCACUAGAUAGCUCUGAUGCUCGGACUUUCUAGACUAGAGAUUUGGAUCAUUGAUAUUUGGGAUUACUCUUAGCAGUAUAGCUAAGUCUUCCUACGUGAUGCAAAGAUACGUAGGAGACUAUUAUUUAUGUCUCAUUUAGUGACAAUUACAUGUUUUUCUGCCUUUGGCUUCCCUCUAGGUGAUGACAUCAUGAGAUUAACCACUAGAUAGCUCUGAUGCUCGGACUCUUCGAAAUGGAUGAAGUAUCCGCGUCGACACGAUAUGAGCAUAGAAUGUGUUAGCCAAGUUUCAAUUGGACACCUUGCUCUUUUUGCUUUUGUCUUUUUCUUCUUUCUUUUUUUGUUCUUUCCUUUUUGUUCUUUCUCGUUUCUACUCUCUGUAAACCUUGUUCCAUCGUCAAAAGGGUUGAGGAAGGCGGCAGUGCUAGGGUUUCCCUUCUUUCUUUUUCUUUUAUUCUUUUUUCCUUCUUUCCCUUUUUAUAUCUAUGGUUUAGGGUUUUCUUUGUAUAAAACGAAAAUGAGUUUCAUAUAGUACUAUUUAGUGUUCCAUUAAGUUCAAAUUACAAUCAAGUCCUUCAUUUUCUAUUUUAUAUAACAUUAGUAAUUAACUUCCCAUAAUUAAAAAGUAAACUCCAAAAUUUUAUAUAUUUGUUUUAACCCCUUAUUCAAUACUCAUUUCCUUCUUUGUGAACAAUUGAUUUUGGUCUAUUUAAAAUGAUAUCUUGGGUUAGUAAAAAUUUUUGAAUUUUAAAAGACUUACCCACGUACCCGUGUUUCAAAUUUGGAUUCUUUUUGGUUAUAUCUCUGAAUUCUAUAUUUUAGAAAAUAAAAGAUCUGAUACUUAAAUAUGUACUCGUACCCGAUACCCAUAUCCAAGUCUGAGCAUCAUAGCUUCUCAGUAUCCUCUUUUGGCUAAACUAAUUUCUUUUCCCUUUUUUAUUUUGUUAAAGCUAUUUGCUCUAGUAUUUCCUUGAACUUUGACUCCGAAAACAGAUAAUAUUUUUCAAUUAUCAGAUCCAAAUCUGAUUGUAUGUCAUUAUUCCUCUGAAUCUGGUAGAUGCAAAGGGAGGGUCAAAAACACUUGUUCAUGGCAUUAGUUCCAAUGUGGAUUUUGUGAAUGAAUGUGUUUCAUGGGGUAAUUGCUCUAACUCGUAACGUUAUGUGAUGAAUGUGUCAUUCUUGGGCUUUAUACACAGACCUAGAGCACCAGGCUUGACGAUGGAGUUCUAUUUUCGAGCUUCACCUAAGUACCUCUCGCUCUCCCUCCACCUACACCUCCACCUUCCCUCUCUGCUUUUGUGCCCAUGUGUUUUAUUUGUUUAUUUUGGUGGAUGAGGUGGGCAGGUGGAGAGUUCAAUAUUGAUUCUACUGACUUGGGAACUCAUCAAGAUGAAUAUCAACCUUGACUGGUAGUUUUGAUGCACGACUACUUUAAGUAGAAACUUGUAAACCUAGUGACUUUGACUUCUUUCAUUUUCUUAGUUGCUUUCACACGUACUCGAUUUUGUUUCCUCUUCCUUUCAAUCAUGUUUAACUGUCAAUGAGUUUUCAUUUCUGUUUAUCUGAAACAUGUUCUUUUUUAUUGAUCUUUUAUGUCAAUAGCUGAAACUGGAGCUGCAAAGCAAAGCAAUACUGCACAAGCCCUUGAGCAGUGAGUUACCAAACUUGUACAGAAACUUUCUUUAAUUUAUAAAUUUGGCAGCAAGAGCUAGCACUUUCACUUGCCUCACAACAAUAGGUGGGACACUAGGGUUUUUGAGUACUCUUAUUGUACCAUCACACACGCUAUACUUUUGUACAAGGCCUAUAUUUUCCAGCAAUAAAUUUUUUAAAUGUAGCUCUUGAUUACACUUUCGGAUUUAAAGGUCAUUCUGUUAAAUUUCCACAGGUAGAGUUAUUGUGUGCUGACAAGGUUUGCUUACUAUGUAUUGCUGUAGUAACUUUCAGCUGGGAAAAUGGAGGCAGUAACCUCGAAGGUUUUCUUACUAAUAAGGUGAAUAGAGUCUAUAAUCUUCAAUACUAUGUAUCUUGGUAGUAACUUUCAACUGGCAAAAUGGAGGCAGUAACCUCCCCUUGAGCUUGUUCCUCCUGUUCCCAUUCUGGAUUUGAUUUUAUUAGACUAACACCUACUACAACAACGGGGUUAUGCUUUAAGAAAAACAUCAUGUGAAAUGCAUGAUUUAAAGUGCUCAUAACUUUGUUAAUGUCCCCUUUUUUGUUUUUCUAAAUCUACUUAUUUUUGUUUACUAAUCAUUGGUUUAAAUGUGCUAUUUUCCAUGUGGACUAAUAGAUAACUAUCUUUGGGUAAAUUGUAUUCAUCUUCAAUCUCCAUAUACAUAUGCUCGUCUUCUGAUUAUUGAUAAGUUUAAUAUUUUCACGAAUUAAUGCAUUUUCAAAUUAUUUCUUUCUCAAAUUAAUUAGUUCCUGAAUGAUCUCAUAUCCUGUGGUUGGAUUAUUGAAUCAAUUUCUGCAACCAUGGAAAAGAAAAAAGCUUAACUAGAACUCAAAUAGAUCAAGUAAUAGGAUCAUGAAAAGGUCAAAAAAUGGCAAGAUAUAUUUCUGAAACCUUAAAAAUUCAUCUAACUAGAUUUCCAUUUUAAUCGAUUUGGGAGGCAGUAUGAUUGGAAUAAUGUAGAAUGGUACAAUAAUGAGAAAAGAACUUGAGUCUCCUCACAUGCACACUGCUUUGCACCACAUCAUGCAACAGCCUGACCAUUUCCCCACUUUUCCCCAUCGCCAGCAAACCAAUUCUAGUAUUUUGACCCGAAGAUACCUAUAGUUUUUAGUCCUUUUGCCUUUUCUUUUACUAUUGCUGAUUCUGUAUAGAUAUUAUAUAUCAUGAUAUUGAUAUGUACUUGCAUCUUACAAUUUGGUUUCAGGAACAGAUCUUAGAGAGGUUUGUUGAUGUCAAUUUGUCAGGGGCAAUUAUAGCUUGUGCCUUCUAUAGAUAUUCUUAGACUUUCAAGAGAUGGAGAGGCUAUUCAACAUUGAACAAUGUAUUAUAGCUUAUAAUUUUUACCACAGUCAGAGAGUCAUUAUUUUUAAUCGCUGAAUUGUCUGUUGUUAAGUUAAAAAUGUGUAUUCUCAAAAUUUUUUAAAUGUUUAUCUGGGUGGUGAUUUGGCCUUUACUUUCUAGUGUUUGAUCAAUUGCUGAAAGAAAGUAUAUAGGAGAUUUGAAUUCACUGAAUAUUCAUUUUAUGUAUUUGGAUUAUAUUGCCUUGCAGUGGAUAUGGUUCAGUGAUUUGAUUGAAUUUGGCGUGCUAUGUUCACAUUUAUAUUCUUUUCGGUUGUUUUAUUUGUUAUGUUCCAGGAACAUGCCGUUGUGGCUCGGAGGCUUGGAAGAAUACUCCACACACACAUUACAUUCUAUUACUCUAAUGAUUGGCCUUAUUAUCAAGGAGAUUCGAGAUACUCAUUACCUAAAGAACUAUGGAUGAUAUAAAUCAGUUAUUUUUUUUUGGCUCUUAUACUGUAGGGGAACCUUGUUCCAGCUAAAUUUCAAAGUACAACACCUAACACUAAAUUUCUCGAAAUUUGCUGUGGGCUGGAGCUCGAAGUGUUAGCUUUGGUGAUGACACCAUUAGUUGUCAGAAAUUUCCUUGCCAGCAAUACUUGCUCUGAGUUAUGAAAGUAUAUUGGCAUUGCAUUUAAUG